UGGGGAAUAUUGGACAAUGGGGGCAACCCUGAUCCAGCCAUGCCGCGUGAGUGAUGAAGGCCUUCGGGUUGUAAAGCUCUUUUGGCGGGGACAAUGAUGACGGUACCCGCAGAAUAAGCCCCGGCUAACUUCGUGCCAGCAGCCGCGGUAAGACGAAGGGGGCAAGCGUUGUUCGGAAUUACUGGGCGUAAAGGGCGCGUAGGCGGUUUGCUUAGUCAGGCGUGAAAGCCCUGGGCUUAACCUGGGAUGUGCGCUUGAUACUGGCAGGCUUGAGUGUGGGAGAGGUUGGUGGAAUUCCCAGUGUAGAGGUGAAAUUCGUAGAUAUUGGGAAGAACACCGGUGGCGAAGGCGGCCAACUGGACCACAACUGACGCUGAGGCGCGAAAGCGUGGGGAGCAAACA
rnacentral:rRNA from 1 species